AGGGACGUAGGUGAUAUGCGUACUGUGGAGAAAAGCAGUGAAGUUUGUUCUCACAGCUUUAUUGCAGACCACUAACUGGAGAGGCCCACACUCAUUGCUUCACCACUUCAACAUUUCCAACAUUUCCAGCAGUACCAUUAAAGCCGUUGUCAUGGAGAUACGUGGGUUUGCUGUAGGUUUGCUGUUGGCUUUGUCUGCCACCCUGUUGGUUGA